rnacentral:rRNA from 1 species
UACGAAGGGGGCUAGCGUUGCUCGGAAUCACUGGGCGUAAAGGGUGCGUAGGCGGGUCUUUAAGUCAGGGGUGAAAUCCUGGAGCUCAACUCCAGAACUGCCUUUGAUACUGAGGAUCUUGAGUACGGGAGAGGUGAGUGGAACUGCGAGUGUAGAGGUGAAAUUCGUAGAUAUUCGCAAGAACACCAGUGGCGAAGGCGGCUCACUGGCCCGGUACUGACGCUGAGGCACGAAAGCGUGGGGAGCAAACAGGG